rnacentral:rRNA from 1 species
CUACGGGAGGCAGCAGUGGGGAAUAUUGCACAAUGGGGGAAACCCUGAUGCAGCCAUGCCGCGUGUGUGAAGAAGGCCUUCGGGUUGUUAAAGCACUUUCAGUAGGGAGGAAGGUAGUGUAGUUAACACCUGCACUAUUUGACGUUACCUACAGAAGAAGCACCGGCUAACUCCGUGCCAGCAGCCGCGGUAAUACGGAGGGUGCGAGCGUUAAUCGGAAUUACUGGGCGUAAAGCGCAUGCAGGCGGCCUGUUAAGUCAGAUGUGAAAGCCCGGGGCUUAACCUCGGAAUUGCAUUUGAAACUGGCAGGCUAGAGUCUUGUAGAGGGGGUAGAAUUUCAGGUGUAGCGGUGAAAUGCGUAGAGAUCUGAAGGAAUACCAGUGGCGAAGGCGGCCCCCUGGACAAAGACUGACGCUCAGAUGCGAAAGCGUGGGGAGCAAACAGGAUUAGAUACCCUGGUAG